rnacentral:rRNA from 1 species
CCUACGGGAGGCAGCAGUGGGGAAUAUUGCACAAUGGGCGCAAGCCUGAUGCAGCGACGCCGCGUGAGGGAUGACGGCCUUCGGGUUGUAAACCUCUGUUAGCAUCGAAGAAGCGAAAGUGACGGUAGGUGCAGAGAAAGCGCCGGCUAACUACGUGCCAGCAGCCGCGGUAAUACGUAGGGCGCGAGCGUUGUCCGGAAUUAUUGGGCGUAAAGAGCUUGUAGGCGGUUGGUCGCGUCUGCUGUGAAAGGCCGGGGCUUAACUCCGGUUUUGCAGUGGGUACGGGCUAACUAGAGUGCAGUAGGGGAGACUGGAAUUCCUGGUGUAGCGGUGGAAUGCACAGAUAUCAGGAGGAACACCGAUGGCGAAGGCAGGUCUCUGGGCUGUAACUGACGCUGAGAAGCGAAAGCAUGGGGAGCGAACAGGAUUAGAUACCCCAGUAGUC